UGGGGAAUAUUGGACAAUGGGGGGAACCCUGAUCCAGCCAUGCCGCGUGUGUGAAGAAGGCCUUAUGGUUGUAAAGCACUUAAGCGAGGAGGAGGGUACUGGUAUUAAUACUACCAGCUACUGGACGUUACUCGCAGAAUAAGCACCGGCUAACUCUGUGCCAGCAGCCGCGGUAAUACAGAGGGUGCGAGCGUUAAUCGGAUUUACUGGGCGUAAAGCGUGCGUAGGCGGCUAAUUGAGUCGGAUGUGAAAUCCCCGAGCUUAACUUGGGAAUUGCAUUCGAUACUGGUUAGCUAGAGUGUGGGAGAGGAUGGUAGAAUUCCAGGUGUAGCGGUGAAAUGCGUAGAGAUCUGGAGGAAUACCGAUGGCGAAGGCAGCCAUCUGGCCUAACACUGACGCUGAGGUACGAAAGCAUGGGGAGCAAACAGG
rnacentral:rRNA from 1 species